AACGUAGGACGCAAGCGUUAUCCGGAGUUACUGGGCGUAAAGCGCGAGCAGGCGGCUCGACAAGUUCGAUGUGAAAGCGCCCGGCUCAACCGGGCGAGGCCAUUGGAGACUAUCGAGCUGGAGGGCAGUAGAGGCAGGCGGAAUUCCGGGUGGAGUGGUGAAAUGCGUAGAGAUCCGGAGGAACACCAGAGGCGAAGGCGGCCUGCUGGGCUGCACCUGACGCUGAGCCGCGAAAGCCAGGGGAGCGAACGGG
rnacentral:rRNA from 1 species